rnacentral:rRNA from 1 species
AUUGAACGCUGGCGGAAUGCUUUACACAUGCAAGUCGAACGGCAGCACGGGGCAACCUGGUGGCGAGUGGCGAACGGGUGAGUAAUACAUCGGAACGUGCCCAAUCGUGGGGGAUAACGUAGCGAAAGUUACGCUAAUACCGCAUACGAUCUACGGAUGAAAGCGGGGGAUCGCAAGACCUCGCGCGAAUGGAGCGGCCGAUGUCAGAUUAGGUAGUUGGUGGGGUAAAGGCUCACCAAGCCGACGAUCUGUAGCUGGUCUGAGAGGACGACCAGCCACACUGGGACUGAGACACGGCCCAGACUCCUACGGGAGGCAGCAGUGGGGAAUAUUGGACAAUGGGCGCAAGCCUGAUCCAGCAAUGCCGCGUGUGUGAAGAAGGUCUUCGGAUUGUAAAGCACUUUCGACGGGGACGAUGAUGACGGUACCCGUAGAAGAAGCCCCGGCUAACUUCGUGCCAGCAGCCGCGGUAAU